rnacentral:rRNA from 1 species
UACGUAGGUGGCAAGCGUUGUCCGGAAUUAUUGGGCGUAAAGCGCGCGCAGGCGGUUUCUAAAGUCUGAUGUGAAAGCCCACGGCUUAACCGUGGAAGGUCAUUGGAAACUGGGAGACUUGAGUGCAGAAGAGAAGAGCGGAAUUCCACGUGUAGCGGUGAAAUGCGUAGAGAUGUGGAGGAACACCAGUGGCGAAGGCGGCUCUUUGGUCUGUAACUGACGCUGAGGCGCGAAAGCGUGGGGAUCAAACAGG